GACGGAGGAUGCAAGCGUUAUCCGGAAUGAUUGGGCGUAAAGCGUCCGCAGGUGGCAAUUCAAGUCUGCUGUUAAAGCGCAGGGCUUAACUCUGUAAAGGCAGUGGAAACUGAAUAGCUAGAGUGUGGUAGGGGCAGAGGGAAUUCCCAGUGUAGCGGUGAAAUGCAUAGAGAUUGGGAAGAACAUCGGUGGCGAAGGCGCUCUGCUGGACCAUAACUGACACUCACAGGACGAAAGCUAGGGGAGCGAAUGGG
rnacentral:rRNA from 1 species